rnacentral:tRNA from 1 species
AUGAGAAUGGCUCAGUGGCAGAGCACUCGCAUAAGAUGUGUGACGCCCUGGGUUCAAUCCUCAGUAUCACAUA